ACCUGGCUGGCUCAGUUGGAAGAGCAUGGGACUCUUGAUCUCAGGGUUGUGAGUUUGAGCCCCACGUUGGAUG
rnacentral:tRNA from 1 species